GAUCAUUGUCGUCGCCUUCAGAGAACACGACCGGCGAACGCGUAAUGUAAAGCCGCCGGGGAGGAGCCAUCCUCCUCGGCCCCGCCGGCCCCGGCCCCGGCCGGGCGCCGGAACACGGCGCUGGAUGUCGCCAAGGAACACAGAUUUGCCGAGGCGGACGGCCGUCCGCCGAGGCCAAGGAAACAAUAUGACUCUCGGCAACGGAUAUCUCGGCUCUCGCAUCGAUGAAGAACGUAGCGAAAUGCGAUACGUGGUGUGAAUUGCAGAAUCCCGUGAACCAUCGAGUCUUUGAACGCAAGUUGCGCCCGAGGGACCCUCCCGAGGGCACGCCUGCCUGGGCGUAAGAAGCCCAUCAACGCUCGACCACCUUCCCGUGAUCGACGCGGACAAUGGCUCUCCGAGCCGCGAGCGGCGCGGCGCGGCGCGGCGCGGCGGGCCUAAGUGCACGGCCGCCGGAUGGGGAUGGGAGCGGCGAGUGGUGGGCUGCUGCGCACGCCGACCCCCGUCCCCACGCCGGCGCUCUGGACCCCCAACGAGGAGCAUGUCUCAUGUCUCCGGAUCGAUACCCCAGGUCAGGCGGGGCUACCCGCUGAGUUUAAGCAUAUAAAUAAG
rnacentral:rRNA from 1 species